rnacentral:rRNA from 1 species
ACGGGUAGCCGGCUGAGAGGGCGACCGGCCACACUGGGACUGAGACACGGCCCAGAUUCUACGGGAGGCAGCAGUGGGGAAUUUGCACAAUGGGCGAAAGCCUGAUGCAGCGACGCCGCGUGAGGGAUGACGGCCUUCGGGUUGUAAACCUCUUUCAGUAGGGAAGAAGCGAGAGUGACGGUACCUGCAGAAGAAGCGCCGGCUAACUACGUGCCAGCAGCCGCGGUAAUACGUAGGGCGCAAGCGUUGUCCGGAAUUAUUGGGCGUAAAGAGCUUGUAGGCGGUUUGUCACGUCUGGUGUGAAAUCCCAUCGCUCAACGGUGGGCUUGCAUCGGGUACGGGCAGGCUAGAGUGUGGUAGGGGAAACUGGAAUUCCUGGUGUAGCGGUGAAAUGCGCAGAUAUCAGGAGGAACACCGAUGGCGAAGGCAGGUUUCUGGGCCAUUACUGACGCUGAGAAGCGAAAGCAUGGGGAGCGA